rnacentral:rRNA from 1 species
UACGUAGGGGGCAAGCGUUAUCCGGAUUUACUGGGUGUAAAGGGAGCGCAGACGGAUGGAUAAGUCUGAAGUGAAAGCCCGCGGCUCAACUGCGGGACUGCUUUGGAAACUGUGCAUCUUGAGUACGGGAGGGGCAGGCGGAAUUCCUGGUGUAGCGGUGAAAUGCGUAGAUAUCAGGAGGAACACCGGCGGCGAAGGCGGCCUGCUGGACCGAAACUGACGUUGAGGCUCGAAAGCGUGGGGAGCAA